UACGUUGGGUGCAAGCGUUGUCCGGAAUUAUUGGGCGUAAAGAGCUCGUAGGCGGUUUGUCGCGUCUGCUGUGAAAACUGGAGGCUCAACCUCCAGCCUGCAGUGGGUACGGGCAGACUAGAGUGCGGUAGGGGAGAUUGGAAUUCCUGGUGUAGCGGUGGAAUGCGCAGAUAUCAGGAGGAACACCGAUGGCGAAGGCAGAUCUCUGGGCCGUAACUGACGCUGAGGAGCGAAAGCGUGGGGAGCGAACAGG
rnacentral:rRNA from 1 species